rnacentral:rRNA from 1 species
AACCGACACAGGUGGGUGAGGAGAGUAUCCUAAGGCCAGCGAGAGAACUGUUGUUAAGGAACUCGGCAAAAUGACCCCGUAACUUAGGGAUAAGGGGUGCCACCAUUAGGUGGCCGCAGAGAAUAGGCCCAAGCGACUGUUUACCAAAAACAUAGGUUUCUGCUAAGUCGCAAGACGAUGUAUAGGAGCUGACGCCUGCCCGGUGCUGGAAGG